AGAGUUUGAUCCUGGCUCAGGACGAACGCUGGCGGCGUGCUUAACACAUGCAAGUCGAACGAGAAUCUGCGGAACGAGGAUUCGUCCAAGUGAAGCAGAGGACAGUGGCGGACGGGUGAGUAACGCGUGAGGAACCUGCCUUUCAGAGGGGACAACAGUUGGAAACGACUGCCUAAUACCGCAUGACACAUAGAUGCCGCAUGGCAUUUAUGUCAAAG
rnacentral:rRNA from 1 species